UCGAACGAAGGCUUCGGCCUUAGUGGCGGACGGGUGAGUAACGCGUGGGAAUCUACCUUACGGCGGGGAAUAACAGUUGGAAACGACUGCUAAUACCGCAUACGCCCUUCGGGGGAAAGGCUUCGGCCACCGUUUGAGGAUCCCGCGUCCGAUUAGCUAGUUGGUAGGGUAACGGCCUACCAAGGCGACGAUCGGUAGCUGGUCUGAGAGGAUGAUCAGCCACACUGGGACUGAGACACGGCCCAGACUCC
rnacentral:rRNA from 1 species